rnacentral:rRNA from 1 species
UGGGUUGAUAGGUUAAGAGCUGAUUAACUGGACGUUACCCACAGAAGAAGCACCGGCUAACUCCGUGCCAGCAGCCGCGGUAAUACGGAGGGUGCGAGCGUUAAUCGGAAUUACUGGGCGUAAAGGGUGCGUAGGUGGUUGAUUAAGUUAUCUGUGAAAUUCCUGGGCUUAACCUGGGCMGGUCAGAUAAUACUGGUUGACUCGAGUAUGGGAGAGGGUAGUGGAAUUUCCGGUGUAGCGGUGAAAUGCGUAGAGAUCGGAAGGAACACCAGUGGCGAAGGCGGCUACCUGGCCUAAUACUGACACUGAGGCACGAAAGCGUGGGGAGCAAACAGGAUUAGAUACCCUGGUAGUCCACGCUGUAAACGAUGUCAACUAGCUGUUGGUUAUAUGAAAAUAAUUAGUGG